rnacentral:rRNA from 1 species
GACAGAGGAUGCAAGCGUUAUCCGGAAUGAUUGGGCGUAAAGCGUCUGUAGGUGGUUUAUUAAGUCUACUGUUAAAGAUCAGGGCUUAACCCUGAGCAGGCAAUAGAAACUAAUAAGCUAGAGUACGGUAGGGGCAGAGGGAAUUCCCGGUGUAGCGGUGAAAUGCGCAGAUAUCAGGAGGAACACCGGCGGCGAAGGCGGCACUCUGGGCCGGUACUGACGCUGAGGAGCGAAAGCGUGGGUAGCAAACAGG